AUUGAACGCUGGCGGCAUGCUUUAUACAUGCAAGUCGGACGGCAGCGGGGUAGUGCUUGCACUACUGCCGGCGAGUGGCGAACGGGUGAGUAAUAUAUUGGAACGUACCGAGUAAUGGGGGAUAACCAAUCGAAAGGUUGGCUAAUACCGCAUACGCUCUGAGGAGGAAAGCAGGGGACCUUCGGGCCUUGCGUUAUUCGAGCGGCCAAUAUCUGAUUAGCUAGUUGGUGGGGUAAAGGCCUACCAAGGCGACGAUCAGUAGCGGGUCUGAGAGGAUGAUCCGCCACACUGGGACUGAGACACGGCCCAGACUCCUACGGGAGGCAGCAGUGGGGAAUUUUGGACAAUGGGCGCAAGCCUGAUCCAGCCAUGCCGCGUGUCUGAAGAAGGCCUUCGGGUUGUAAAGGACUUUUGUUAGGGAAGAAAAAAGAGCGGUUAAUACCCGUUUCUGCUGACGGUUACCUAAAGAAUAAGCACCGGCUAACUACGUGCCACCACCCGCCGGUAAUAUGUAGGGUGUGAGCGUUAAUCGGAAUUCCUGGGCGUUAAGCCAAGC
rnacentral:rRNA from 1 species